CCUACGGGUGGCAGCAGUAGGGAAUAUUGCUCAAUGGGCGAAACCCUGACGCAGCAACGCCGCGUGGAGGAUGAAGGUUUUCGGGUUGUAAACUCCUUUUGUUAGAGAAGAAAAUGACGGUAUCCAACGAAUAAGCACCGGCUAACUCCGUGCCAGCAGCCGCGGUAAUACGGAGGGUGCAAGCGUUACUCGGAAUCACUGGGCGUAAAGAGCGCGUAGGCGGGAUAUAAAGUCAGAUGUUAAAUCCUCGGGCUUAACCAUAGAACUGCAUUUGAAACUGGGAUUCUAGAGUAUGGGAGAGGUAGGGGGAAUUCUUGGUGUAGGGGUAAAAUCCGUAGAGAUCAAGAGGAACACUCGUUGCGAAGGCGACCUGCUGGAACAUAACUGACGCUGAGGCGCGAAAGCGUGGGGAGCAAACAGGAUUAGAUACCCGAGUAGUC
rnacentral:rRNA from 1 species